CACUGCUGUGGAAGCUGCCAGACUGAAGCCCUUGCGCUGAAAAGUCUGGGUUCUGAUGGGCUGAAAAUGCAGCAUAUAAGGCAUGCAAACAAAUGCAGUGCUUAGAAUUGGAGAGGACAGAAGCCUGGUGGUGCUGACCAUAUAAAUGUUUUAUUUUUGGAAGCAGAGCUGCAGUCCUGUGGAGCCAUCACUCCUGUGCUGUUGAGUGACCUCUUGGAUUUUCUUCGCCAUAACAAAAAUCAUAACUAGUAAAUGUGUCAUAUUAUUUGCUACUGACUGA